rnacentral:Y_RNA from 1 species
GGCUGGUCCGAUGGCAGGGGAUUAGCAGAACUUAUUAACAUUAGUGUCACUAAAGUUGAUAUACCACCCCCCCACUGCUAAAUUUGACUGGCUUAAA